ACACGACUACAUUAGAUACCCCCGUAGUCCUAGCCGUAAACGAUACUCGCUAGGUGUCGGCCACGGUGCGACCGUUGUCGGUGCCGUAGGGAAGCCGUGAAGCGAGCCACCUGGGAAGUACGGCCGCAAGGCUGAAACUUAAAGGAAUUGGCGGGGGAGCACCACAACGGGUGGAGCUUGCGGUUUAAUUGGAUUCAACGCCGGAAAUCUUACCGGGACCGACAGCAACAUGAAGGCCAGGCUGAAGACCUUGCCGGAUUAGCUG
rnacentral:rRNA from 1 species